rnacentral:tRNA from 1 species
GCCGGGGUGACGAAAUUGGUAGCCGUAGCGGACUUAAAAUCCGCCGCCCGUUGGGCUUACGGGUUCGAGUCCCGUUCCCGGCA